rnacentral:rRNA from 1 species
AUUGAACGCUGGCGGCAUGCCUUACACAUGCAAGUCGAACGGCAGCACGGGAGCAAUCCUGGUGGCGAGUGGCGAACGGGUGAGUAAAGUAUCGGAACGUGUCCAGUCGUGGGGGAUAACGUAGCGAAAGCUACGCUAAUACCGCAUACGAUCUAUGGAUGAAAGCGGGGGAUCGCAAGACCUCGCGCGAUUGGAGCGGCCGAUAUCAGAUUAGGUAGUUGGUGGGGUAAAGGCCCACCAAGCCGACGAUCUGUAGCUGGUCUGAGAGGACGACCAGUCACACUGGGACUGAGACACGGCCCAGACUCCUACGGGAGGCAGCAGUGGGGAAUUUUGGACAAUGGGCGCAAGCCUGAUCCAGCAAUGCCGCGUGCAGGAUGAAGGCCUUCGGGUUGUAAACUGCUUUUGUACGGAGCGAAAAGGCUCGCACUAAUACUGUGGGCUCAUGACGGUACCGUAAGAAUAAGCACCGGCUAACUACGUGCCAGCCGCCGCUGUAA